CUCGUAGGUGGUUUGUCGCGUCGUCUGUGAAAUUCCGGGGCUUAACUCCGGGCGUGCAGGCGAUACGGGCAUAACUUGAGUACUGUAGGGGUAACUGGAAUUCCUGGUGUAGCGGUGAAGUGCGCAGAUAUCAGGAGGAACACCGAUGGCGAAGGCAGGUUACUGGGCAGUUACUGACGCUGAGGAGCGAAAGCAUGGGUAGCGAACA
rnacentral:rRNA from 1 species